GAUGAACGCUGGCGGCGUGCCUAAUACAUGCAAGUCGAGCGAACAGAUGAGGAGCUUGCUCCUCUGACGUUAGCGGCGGACGGGUGAGUAACACGUGGAUAACCUACCUAUAAGACUGGGAUAACUUCGGGAAACCGGAGCUAAUACCGGAUAAUAUAUUGAACCGCAUGGUUCAAUAGUGAAAGACGGUUUUGCUGUCACUUAUAGAUGGAUCCGCGCCGCAUUAGCUAGUUGGUAAGGUAACGGCUUACCAAGGCGACGAUGCGUAGCCGACCUGAGAGGGUGAUCGGCCACACUGGAACUGAGACACGGUCCAGACUCCUACGGGAGGCAGCAGUAGGGAAUCUUCCGCAAUGGGCGAAAGCCUGACGGAGCAACGCCGCGUGAGUGAUGAAGGUCUUCGGAUCGUAAAACUCUGUUAUUAGGGAAGAACAAAUGUGUAAGUAACUAUGCACUUCUUGACGGUACCUAAUCAGAAAGCCACGGCUAACUACGUG
rnacentral:rRNA from 1 species